rnacentral:rRNA from 1 species
UGGGGAAUCUUGCACAAUGGGCGAAAGCCUGAUGCAGCGACGCCGCGUGGAGGAUGACGGUCUUCGGAUUGUAAACUCCUGUUAAGUGGGAAGAAAGACUCAUACCUAAUACGUAUGAGGGAUGACGGUACCACUAGAGAAAGCACCGGCAAACUUCGUGCCAGCAGCCGCGGUAAUACGAAGGGUGCUAGCGUUAUUCGGAAUAACUGGGCGUAAAGAGCGUGUCGGCGGUCCGUUAAGUCAACUGUAAAAGAGCUCGGCUUAACCGAGUAAAUGCGGGUGAUACUGGCAGACUAGAGUACGGGAGAGAAAGGUAGAAUUCUCGGAGUAGCGGUAAAAUGCGUAGAUCUCGAGAGGAAUACCGGUUGCGAAGGCGGCCUUUUGGCCCGUAACUGACGCUUAAGCGCGAAAGCGUGGGGAGCAAACAGGAUUAGAUACCCCCGUAGUCC